rnacentral:rRNA from 1 species
UUAAGCGACUAAGCGUACACGGUGGAUGCCCUGGCAGUCAGAGGCGAUGAAGGACGUGCUAAUCUGCGAUAAGCGUCGGUAAGGUGAUAUGAACCGUUAUAACCGGCGAUUUCCGAAUGGGGAAACCCAGUGUGUUUCGACACACUAUCAUUAACUGAAUCCAUAGGUUAAUGAGGCGAACCGGGGGAACUGAAACAUCUAAGUACCCCGAGGAAAAGAAAUCAACCGAGAUUCCCCCAGUAGCGGCGAGCGAACGGGGAGGAGCCCAGAGCCUGAAUCAGUGUGUGUGUUAGUGGAAGCGUCUGGAAAGGCGCGCGAUACAGGGUGACAGCCCCGUACACAAAAAUGCACAUGCUGUGAGCUCGAUGAGUAGGGCGGGACACGUGGUAUCCUGUCUGAAUAUGGGGGGACCAUCCUCCAAGGCUAAAUACUCCUGACUGACCGAUAGUGAACCAGUACCGUGAGGGAAAGGCGAAAAGAACCCCGGCGAGGGGAGUGAAAAAGAACCUGAAACCGUGUACGUACAAGCAGUGGGAGCACAGAGCAAUCUGUGUGACUGCGUACCUUUUGUAUAAUGGGUCAGCGACUUAUAUUCUGUAGCAAGGUUAACCGAAUAGGGGAGCCGAAGGGAAACCGAGUCUUAACUGGGCGUUAAGUUGCAGGGUAUAGACCCGAAACCCGGUGAUCUAGCCAUGGGCAGGUUGAAGGUUGGGUAACACUAACUGGAGGACCGAACCGACUAAUGUUGAAAAAUUAGCGGAUGACUUGUGGCUGGGGGUGAAAGGCCAAUCAAACCGGGAGAUAGCUGGUUCUCCCCGAAAGCUAUUUAGGUAGCGCCUCGUGAAUUCAUCUCCGGGGGUAGAGCACUGUUUCGGCAAGGGGGUCAUCCCGACUUACCAACCCGAUGCAAACUGCGAAUACCGGAGAAUGUUAUCACGGGAGACACACGGCGGGUGCUAACGUCCGUCGUGAAGAGGGAAACAACCCAGACCGCCAGCUAAGGUCCCAAAGUCAUGGUUAAGUGGGAAACGAUGUGGGAAGGCCCAGACAGCCAGGAUGUUGGCUUAGAAGCAGCCAUCAUUUAAAGAAAGCGUAAUAGCUCACUGGUCGAGUCGGCCUGCGCGGAAGAUGUAACGGGGCUAAACCAUGCACCGAAGCUGCGGCAGCGACACUGUGUGUUGUUGGGUAGGGGAGCGUUCUGUAAGCCUGUGAAGGUGUGCUGUGAGGCAUGCUGGAGGUAUCAGAAGUGCGAAUGCUGACAUAAGUAACGAUAAAGCGGGUGAAAAGCCCGCUCGCCGGAAGACCAAGGGUUCCUGUCCAACGUUAAUCGGGGCAGGGUGAGUCGACCCCUAAGGCGAGGCCGAAAGGCGUAGUCGAUGGGAAACAGGUUAAUAUUCCUGUACUUGGUGUUACUGCGAAGGGGGGACGGAGAAGGCUAUGUUGGCCGGGCGACGGUUGUCCCGGUUUAAGCGUGUAGGCUGGUUUUCCAGGCAAAUCCGGAAAAUCAAGGCUGAGGCGUGAUGACGAGGCACUACGGUGCUGAAGCAACAAAUGCCCUGCUUCCAGGAAAAGCCUCUAAGCAUCAGGUAACAUCAAAUCGUACCCCAAACCGACACAGGUGGUCAGGUAGAGAAUACCAAGGCGCUUGAGAGAACUCGGGUGAAGGAACUAGGCAAAAUGGUGCCGUAACUUCGGGAGAAGGCACGCUGAUAUGUAGGUGAAGUCCCUCGCGGAUGGAGCUGAAAUCAGUCGAAGAUACCAGCUGGCUGCAACUGUUUAUUAAAAACACAGCACUGUGCAAACACGAAAGUGGACGUAUACGGUGUGACGCCUGCCCGGUGCCGGAAGGUUAAUUGAUGGGUCAGCGCAAGCGAAGCUCUUGAUCGAAGCCCCGGUAAACGGCGGCCGUAACUAUAACGGUCCUAAGGUAGCGAAAUUCCUUGUCGGGUAAGUUCCGACCUGCACGAAUGGCGUAAUGAUGGCCAGGCUGUCUCCACCCGAGACUCAGUGAAAUUGAACUCGCUGUGAAGAUGCAGUGUACCCGCGGCAAGACGGAAAGACCCCGUGAACCUUUACUAUAGCUUGACACUGAACAUUGAGCCUUGAUGUGUAGGAUAGGUGGGAGGCUUUGAAGUGUGGACGCCAGUCUGCAUGGAGCCGACCUUGAAAUACCACCCUUUAAUGUUUGAUGUUCUAACGUGGACCCGUGAUCCGGGUUGCGGACAGUGUCUGGUGGGUAGUUUGACUGGGGCGGUCUCCUCCUAAAGAGUAACGGAGGAGCACGAAGGUUGGCUAAUCCUGGUCGGACAUCAGGAGGUUAGUGCAAUGGCAUAAGCCAGCUUGACUGCGAGCGUGACGGCGCGAGCAGGUGCGAAAGCAGGUCAUAGUGAUCCGGUGGUUCUGAAUGGAAGGGCCAUCGCUCAACGGAUAAAAGGUACUCCGGGGAUAACAGGCUGAUACCGCCCAAGAGUUCAUAUCGACGGCGGUGUUUGGCACCUCGAUGUCGGCUCAUCACAUCCUGGGGCUGAAGUAGGUCCCAAGGGUAUGGCUGUUCGCCAUUUAAAGUGGUACGCGAGCUGGGUUUAGAACGUCGUGAGACAGUUCGGUCCCUAUCUGCCGUGGGCGCUGGAGAACUGAGGGGGGCUGCUCCUAGUACGAGAGGACCGGAGUGGACGCAUCACUGGUGUUCGGGUUGUCAUGCCAAUGGCACUGCCCGGUAGCUAAAUGCGGAAGAGAUAAGUGCUGAAAGCAUCUAAGCACGAAACUUGCCCCGAGAUGAGUUCUCCCUGACCCUUUAAGGGUCCUGAAGGAACGUUGAAGACGACGACGUUGAUAGGCCGGGUGUGUAAGCGCAGCGAUGCGUUGAGCUAACCGGUACUAAUGAACCGUGAGGCUUAACCUU